CUGUUUCAGGCUGCCGGGGAAAUUGCUUCAGGAAUUGCCUCCCCACAAGCACGCCUGCAAUUUCUGCAGAGCGCCCUCGCCUGACCACCCCAUCCGCUUCCCCUGCUGGGUGGAGAAGAGACCCCAACCGUGAGGCCAGAAGGUGCUGACUGUCCAGGGGUGGCGCUGGAGACAGGGCUAAGAUGAGCGUCUCUGCACAUCAAACAGCAGACUCAUGAGAGUGAUCGUCUGAUUUGAUGCCUUAGACGAGUGGAGGAAGACGGCUCAAGGAACCAAGGAGGCUUUUCCAAGGAGGUUUCUUCUGGCAGUGGGAAGUAAAUAGAUUUUUAGAGGAUGGAGGAAAAUUAAAAGAGCAAAAGUCCAAAACUGUGGUGAAAUUUUUAAAAACUUUAUUUGAAUCGUAAAGACACACACACGCGCACGCACGCACGCACAGAUCUCCCACAGCUGAGGCUGGGCCAGGCUGAAUCUAGGAGCCCAGAACUCAAUCCAGGUCUCCCACGUGGGUGGCAGGGAGCCGAGUACUUGAGCCGUCGUCACCUGCUGCCUCCCAGGAUUUGUUUUAGCAGAAAGCUGGAAGGAGGGGUUGAGCAGGGUCUCAGAUCCAGGCACUCGGACCCACGCCAAGUGUGGGUGUCCCAUGGAGUAGCGUAAGCACACGCUCAAGGGUUCGAGUCCAAACUGCCUUGCGGUCAUUGAUCUGAGGCCCCGCCCAGGGAGACGGGUGGGUGGAGAUGCAAGCAGAAGCUUGAAAUCCCAGGGACCACCCUUGCGGAAAUGCCGCCAAGCCCCUUUCAGUCCUGCUGGGGUCGACUGCCCAGCUCCCGCCUGUGCAGACUGGACUGCCGGAGCCCGCCCCUCCCCCUCCUCGGGGCGUGGCCUCUCGCUGGUUUCUGCAAAUCCAACAGGGCACAGAAAGUAGGAACAGCGUGCGUUUCCUUGUCAGAUAGGGGGCGGGGAGGGGCGGGGUCUGAGCCCCUUCUAUCUUCCUGAUUGGUCUGGAGCCUAAGGCGUUCGGAUAAGAUUAAUGAGGAGAGUAUGACGCAUGCUGUAAAGGCUUCAGUGACGGAGUUUUGUGACUGGUGGUGUUGUUAUUUGCAGUUCUGAUUAAACGCGGAGAGGAGGGGGCGCAGUCAUUGUGGCACAGUGAGUUGAGGCCACUCAGCUUCUGAUCCAGCUUCCUGCUGAUGGGCACCCUUGGGAGACAGUGGAUAACGGGUCCAAGUACUUGAACCUCUGCCACCCACAUGGGAGAACCUGGAUGGUGUUCAGGGCUCCUGGCUUUGACCUGGCCCAGACCUGGCUGCUGUGGGUAUUUGGGGAGUGAACCAGCAGAUGGAAGAUGUCUCUCUCUCUCUCUCUCUUUCUCUCCCUCUCCCUCUCUCAGUCUAUCACUCUGCCCUUCAAAUAAAUAAAUCUUUUAAAAAAAUGCUGUAGGGUUGGUGUUGUGGUGCAGCAAGUAAAGCCACCACUUAUGACCCCAGCAUCCGAUAUCGGAGCGCUGGUUCUAGUCCCGGCUGCUCCACUUCCGAUGCAGCUCCCUGUUAAUGCACCUGGGAAGGCAGCAGAAGAUGGCCCAGGUGCUUGGGCUCCUGCCACCCACAUGGGAGACCCGGAUGGAGUUCCCAGCUCCUGGUUUCAGCCUGGCUAUUUCAGGAGUGAACCAGCAGAUGGCAGAUCUCUGUCUCUUAGAUGAAAAUAUUUUAAAAUUGUAUUUGAAUGGCAAAGAUACACACACACACACAGAUCUGUUGUUCUGCCUUUCAAAUACAAUUUUAAAAGGAGAGCUGCCGCGAGGAGAUAAGCACAGGUAUUCCACGAGUCCUAUCAAGGAUGCUUGCACCAACGAGGGUAAUCAGAGCAAGCUUCCUACAGGAAGGAAGCCCCAGCAGAUCCUGAGUGGAGAGAAGAAAGGCCCCAGGGUCUGUCUUUUUUGGCAGCUGGACUUCUUUGGGAAAAAAAGAGAAAAAAACCAUAUUCUAUUGCCAGGUGACUUCCAAAGCCUGCUGAACCUUAGUGUCCCCAGGGAGUGGGGGUGGCAGGUUCCACCGGAUCCCAGAGGCACCAGCCCAGGGGGAGCUGCCUUUUAAUUCCACCUGCAGCCCCUGGCUUAGAGCAGGCUCUCCAUCUGCCCAUUAGACCCAAGGAUGCCUGCUCUUCUGGUCCAUGGACUGUGCUGUGAAAGAAGUUGGGACUCGGGGCCCAGGUGCAGCCUCCAGUCUUAGUGACUCCACGUCAAUCUCUCGCCCUCUCUGGAAUUCAGUUUCCUUAUCUGCACAUCAAGGGCGCUGACCUGGACAGGGGUCAGGGUGAGCCGAGGGGAAGGCAGAGUCCGGCCCAGCCGUGGGAAUGGGCUGGGAAUGGGCCCUCGUGUUCUCAGGUCUCCCGAUUUUUCAUGAGAGUCUAGGUAUGCGGCUCCCAUUUUCACAUGUUUGACGACCCGUCCAAAAUGUCCACUAAGCAUUGCGUGGGCCCAACGAAGCAGGCCAGUGAACCAGAGUGAACCUCCAGCCAGCUCCCAGUGCCUCAUCCCUGGCCUGGCUGCUCUCAGAGGAGCGCUCUCUCACUCACUCACAUUGCCAUUGUAAUGUGCCUGCAAAUUGUUCCCACGAUUGCCUGGUCAGCCCUUCUCUGCAGCUGUGCUGCGAUCCAGCGCUUGACCCCGGGCAGCGGGGUUGAGCCGCCAGGCCCGCUAUAGGGGUGCUUCCCCAAUCCCCAGGAGCCCCAGGAACUCAGAGUUUUCUCAGAAAGGCUUAGAAACCCCAGCAGGCUCAUCUGACCAUCCCAGACCCAGGGUGAGACACACACACACACACACACACACACACACCAAUCAAUCGAUAGAUCAAUCAAUCAAUCAAACCUGCUGUGAAUCAGAACUUGGAUUCGCAGGAAGUCAUCCUCCACCUCACCUUCGGUAUGAUGGAGUUGAUGUCCUCACUCCCAGCCCCAAUUCCUGCAAAACCACAGUGGUUCCUGGUGAGCCCUUAGGAGCCACCCAGGCCUGGGUUCCAGCCCGGGGCUUUGACACUCUCCAGCUCGAUUUUAGGCCUCUCUCUAGACAGGUGACUCCCUUGGAACCUAGUUGGACACCCUUUAAAAAUCCCCCCCUUUCCUGGCUCAGGCAGUUGGGACGAUGGUUAAGAUGUCGCCCGGGACACCUGCAUCCCAUAGGGGUGUGUGCCUGGAUCGGGUCCCGGCUCCUCUGCUUCCCCCAUGACUUCUCCUGUUGCUACGCAUCCUGGGAGGCCCAAGCACUUGGAUCUCUGCCACUCACAUGCCUAUUUUUUUUCCAACAGUUUGUUGUAGAACCCCUCAAAUCCUUAGCCCACGUGUUGUCCUGCAGCAGGCCUAUCACUGACACGUGGGUGGCGGAAGAAAGUAGGCGCUCAUUUUGCAAUGUGCAGGGCAAGAAGCCAGGCGGCUGUUGCUCAAUCUCUGGACUCCUCAGGGAUUAAGCGCAGUGAAUCUUGUAGAUUAAAGUCAGGGCUGAGCCGUGCGCUGGUCUCUGGUUAAGGCACCGUGCUCCUGGCCUGCCUUUGGUUGGUCAGUGACAGGAGGCCGGCACGCUCAUCCGAGAACGUUGUGAUGGCAAAGCAGGCUCCAGUCUGCCUUGGGGGGUGGGGUGAGCGGUCUAUGAGUAGAUGAUUAAACCAGAACCUGGGGUUCCUGUGAAGCAUCUCAACUUGGAGACUGGUGCUAAGACGUUCCCAGCUGUGGGGCUCCAUGGGAUGUGCAGCCAUGGAGCCCCCACGUCAAGGUCGGUCUGAUAGCUGUUGCUGUGUCUUUAUCACAAGGCGGAUGUUGCUAGUUUCAGUUAGGGCAAUGCUUUCCCACGGCCGGGACUUUCCAGAGGAGUUGAGAAUGUUGUAAACAACAAGAUGGCACCAAGGACCGUGUGGUGAGCCUGCCUGCUGCGUGACACCUCAUCUGAUUGGCCCGAGGAUGCGUGCACACUGCGUGAACAGACAGCGGAUUGGAGUGUUCCGUGCAUGGACUUGAGCCCGCUUGCAAUUGGCCAGAUUUUGUAUAUACGCUGUGUGCUGAGGAAGGAGGGGGCUUUCCUGUCCACUCUCCUCCUUUCAUUCUUUCUCUGUCCCUGUUAUUUUCCCAUUAAAAGUCUGCUGAAGACCGAUAAGCUGCGAACAGUGUCGUUCCUUUGCGGGCAAGGGAGCGGCACCCAG